UGGACAGCUUACAAAGAAAGCAGAUGUGUACAGCUUUGGGGUUCUUUUGCUUGAAGUAAUUAGUGGCAGAAGUAGUAGUAAGGCAGCCUUUGGUGACCAAAUGCUGCUUUUGCUGGAAUGGGUAAAGACUCCAAUCAAAUAAACUGUUGAUGCAACGCUUGCAGGAGUUAUUAUUCUAAGACCUGACAAUUGUAAAAAUGCUUCUGCAGACAUGGAAACUGAGAGAAGAAGAAAGGCUUUUAGAAAUUGUU
rnacentral:lncRNA from 1 species